rnacentral:lncRNA from 1 species
AUUAUUUUGCGCUCCAGAUUCACCAGAUGUUGGUGUGUUUGCGAGGAAAGCUCCUGAUGAUCACAGUAAGCUGGUUCUGAUCUGUCUGGUCACUGGUUUCUACCCCAGAGAUAUUGAGAUGAACAUCAGAUUGAACAGAAUUAAUAUUCAGAACCAAAUAUCAUCUGGAGUCAGACCCAAUGAUGAUGAAACCUUUCAGAUGAGAUCCAGAGUGAAGAUCGACAGAAACCACAGAGGAUCUUAUGACUGUCAUGUCAUUCACAGCAGUCUGACAGAACCAGUGUCAGUAAACUGGGAUGGCAGAUGUUCUGGCUGUGAUCCAGAAUCUCCGAUGUCUGUUACAGUAGGAAUAUUAAUAUCAGCUCUAGUUCUAGCUGUAGUCUUUUCUGUGAUUCGUCGCUGCAUCAACAGAAGGAAAAAGCAUCAUGGUGAGAAAGAAACAUUCGACGUGAUCAUUGAUGCUUUAAAUCUCAUUUGUAAAUUUUAGUUUUGAAAUAUAUGAGCUAAAAAUGAAUAGAAAUAUGUGGUGGUAGAGAUUUUGAUGGUGAGAUUUGUCAAUAUUUGGAUUUCAUUUGAUGAUAUAAAGAUAUGUUUAUCAGUUUAUCAAACGAAUGUGAAGUGUGUCAUCUCUGCAGCUCAAACGUGCUCAAGAUGAGGUUUUUCUUCUGUAUGAUCUGCUGUUUCUUUCCCAGGUCUGAUGAGAAGUUAUCGUUAUUAUGGAGGAACGACUGAACAGCUUCAGAUCCCCGAAGCGUCUGAUCAAGAGCUCAAUACAGACUAUUAGACACUCGAUUCUAAUUCUCCAGCUGUGUUUCCAAUCUGUGUCAGCUCUACUUUAUUAAGAAUAAAUGGUUAGUAAGAAGUUAUUGAUAAGAGGUAACAUAAAUUGCAAAACAAAAGCAGUUAUUUAUCUCAUUAUAUGAACAGUAAAUAAUAUGAGGGGAAAGUCAAAUUAAACAAAUCUUAUUGUUAUAAGAUGUAAUAUUAUUCUAAGCAGGGGAGGACUGGCCAUCUGUGGUAAUCAUCUCAUUCAGACUAUAAGUCAUACCUUAGUAUAAGUCACAUCAGUCCAAAAAUAUGUCAUGACGAGGAAAAAAAAAACAUAUAAAUCGCACUGUAUUGUAAAUCGCAUUUAUUUAGAACCAAGAACCAAGAGAAAAAAUUACCGUCUCCAGCCGCGAGAGGGCGCUGUAUGUCUUCAGUGUAAACUACAGGAGAACUGAGCAGCAUAGAGCGCCCUCUCGUGGCUGGAGACGGUAAUGUUUUCUCUUGGUUCAUUUCUCUCGGUUGAUGUCAAAUUAAUUUUGAUAAAUAAGUCGCACCUGACUAUAAGUCACUGGACCAGCCAAAUUAUGAAAAAAAGUGUGACUUACAGUCCGGAAAAUACAGUAAGUAUGGAACAUGAGAAGAGAAAGAGUUACUUGCUAGGGAUGAUGUUAGGAAGUGAUAUUCAGGUUGCUAUAUUUUUAAUAAUUACAGUAGUUAAAACAGCUAAACUUCAACAUUUUAGCUGUAAAAUGCCAAUAUAGCUAAUAUUAAGGUGCUUUUACUUUUAAAAAUGUUGGUAACGUUAAAGUUAAUGCUUACAAACUUUGAAGAUUUUGAAUACAGAAGUUACAUUUGUAAUGGUGUAUUUUCAUUUAGAUGUGGUAUUAUUAUUUGUGCAGUAAGAUUAAUGACUGCAUAAAUUAAGAUUAUUAAGUAAUAAAUUAAUUUUAAGACAGCAUGGAAUAGAUUGUAUAAUUUGCUGUUAUAACAUCAUAUUAUAUAAUCUAUUCCAUGCUAUCUUGGAAUCAAACCUUUUUAUUUUUUAAUCAUUUUCAUAAUUUGUUUAUUCAGGUUGAUUUUAGACCAAGAGCAGAGAAAGACACUCACUCCAGCUCAACUUAUUAAUUUUAAGCGCCCCAAGUCAGAUCACAUCCUAGAGUUUUUUUUGUUUUGUUUUUUUGUCAAUUUACCCUCAGAAGAAGAAAAAAUACCUGACAGUACAGAGAGUGUUUAAGUUGAGUGUUUAAAUCAACAGUACACAAAGAUCUACCCACUACGAACUCAAAUGAUUCGUGAACGCACUACGAACUCUCGAAUUGAUUCAAAUGAUUCGCGAACCCGCUUCGAACUCCCAAAAUGACUCAAAUGAUUCGCGAUCCCCAAACUGACUCAAAUGAUUCGCGAUCUCGCUGCGAACUCCCGAACUGACUCAAAUGAUUCGCGAUCUCGCUGCGAAUUCCCAAACUGACUCAAAUGAUUCGCGAACCCGCUACGAACUCCCAAACUGAUUCAAAUGAUUCGCGAUCCCCAAACUGACUCAAAUGAUUCGCGAACCCGCUACGAACUCCCGAACCGACUCAAAUGAUUUGCGAACCCGCUACGAACUCCCAAACUGACUCAAAUGAUUCGCGAACCCGCUUCAAACUCCCAAACUGACUCAAAUGAUUCGCGAUCCCCAAACUGAUUCAAAUGAUUUUCGAACCCGCUUUGAACUCCCGAACUGACUCAAAUGAUUUUCGAACCUGCUUUGAACUCCCGAACUGACUCAAAUGAUUCUGAUCCUGCUCCGAACACACGAGAACUCUUUGACCACAGCUGCUGUGCUUCAAAAGCUCCUGCUGCAGCUCAACACUGGUUUUCUCUGAGGUGGUCGGAUCACAUCAGAUUGUGGUUAAUCUUGCAGAUCAUGAUUUAUAUCUACUGUUCCUCUCUCUGCAGUUUGGUAAUAUAAAGAUUCCUCCUUUGAACUCCCACUUGAACUCCUGUUGUUCCCAUUAAUGCGCUUUUAUGCGUUAUGGUCUAUACAAACACAAAGUAAAACAGAAAGUAAUUUUCAAACACUAUUUUGAUUGAGUCAGACCAGCACAAACUGAUUACUGUAUAUCACAAGGAUUUCUGAAAUAAAUAACAAAAUACCUGAAUAAUAUAUUCAGAAUCAAAAACUAAAGUGGCUUCUGCAUCAGAAAAGCUGCUGUGUUGAGCUCUUAAAAAUGUUCCUUUCACAGCUUAAGUAUGAAAACUAUCAACAAUAGACAAUAUAACACAAAACAUUUUGAAAUAAAUGAAAGCAAUCUGAAUUAUUCAGAAUCAAUUUCGAGAAACAUACAUACAUACAUACAUACAUAUAUAUAUAUAUAUAUAUAU